rnacentral:lncRNA from 1 species
CAUUUUUUUUUUUUUUUUUUUUUUUUUUUUUUUUUUUUUUUUUUUUUUUACUGGGAACAAGCUUCACUGUGAUAUCUGAAUGCCAGAAGUCCAUUUCUUUGCAGGGUUUAAUCCCUCCGUGAAGUUGCGCACGCCCCGGCCUUGCGUCCGUCUCUCCUUCCCCGGCCUCCCCGGCCCGGUGUGGGGCGGUGUCGUCCGCGAGACGCUUCCCUCCAGCUCGAAUGUCCAGCUUUCCAUUACCCCUUUGACUUGACGUGCUAGGCGACUAAUCCCUCUGUAUACUUGCCUUACAACUCCUUGUUACCCAUUUCUGAACCUCUGAAACUCCACUACACCGCAG